UACGGGGGGGCGAGCGUUGUUCGGAAUUACUGGGCGUAAAGGGUUUGUAGGUGGCCUGCUAAGUCAGACGUGAAAUCCCUCAGCUUAGCUGGGGAACUGCGUCUGAUACUGGCGGGCUUGAGGACAGGAGAGGAACGCGGAAUUCCAGGUGUAGCGGUGAAAUGCGUAGAUAUCUGGAGGAACACCGGUGGCGAAGGCGGCGUUCUGGACUGUUUCUGACACUGAAAAACGAAAGCCAGGGGAGCAAACGGG
rnacentral:rRNA from 1 species